CUGUCUGCCUGUGAUUGUGUGUGUGUGACUGUCUGUGACUGUGUUGUGUGUAUGUGUGACUGUCUGUGAUUGUGUGUGUGACUGUCUGCCUGUGUGAUUGCCUGCGUAUUUGACUGUCUGCCUGUAACUGUGUGUAAGUGACUGUGUGUGGGACUGUGUGCAUCUGACUGUGUCUGACGGUCUUCGCCCUGCAGUGAGCCGGCAGCCAGG